CUUGAGCUGAACUUGUAAUGUUGUGACACAGUAACAGUAAGAGAUAGUUAAUAUAUAAUUGUGACAUACUAACUAUGUAUUUAUUGUUCUUUUGAUGAUCAGCUGUGAAUAGUUGUGGUCUGGAGAUCUGGGCUGUCAUCAGAAGCCACCAAGUCCCAUCAAGUUCUGCAACCAACUUACUUGAGCUAAUUGAAGAAACUGAGAGGAGAAGAGUUAACUCACGUCAAUUCUGGAUUUGCUCUGGGUGAUUUACCAGUCCCUAAGGGAGCCAGAGCCAGGAUCUGGAGCUGACACCUUUAUAUGGAGCAGGAGAUGCUUCGAGCAGCCAGCGUGUUUCUCUUUUAGCUUUCUUAUGGUCUGAAAAUACACUUGGGUAUAUUAAUAGGAACCUGUUAGAGCCCACAGUUUGACAUCCCGCUGAUGUGCAGCCCUUCCUGAGAAUCACUGCUUCCCAUUGAUUGCUCAGCACCAUGAGGCAGUUGCUUGAAAGAAUGAAUUGGUCUUAAUGUACAUAAGUUCUGUGAAUUUAGACAUACACAUUUAACUCCCUUGGAACAAGCAUCAGGACAAGAGUCUUUAUGUACUCUAGGUGGUCAGAGCACACUGUCUCAGUUAUUUGUGGUAUCUCAGGAGAUCUCUGUUGUACUCGCUGGAACCAAGUGUGGAAAGGAGGCAAAAAGCCAAGUGGCAGGAUAUCUGCUGAGAAAGCUGAGAAGAUGAGUGUCUCGCAGGAGAAAAUGGAAGACAGCAGAUCUCACAUGACAUCCAAAGAAUACAAGCUACAAAAGGAUCAGCAUCUCGUAGAGAAUUCUAAGAUGUUACAAGACAUUACAAGCUAA
rnacentral:lncRNA from 1 species